AGCGUACACGGUGGAUGCCCUGGCAGUCAGAGGCGAUGAAGGACGUGCUAAUCUGCGAUAAGCGUCGGUAAGGUGAUAUGAACCGUUAUAACCGGCGAUUUCCGAAUGGGGAAACCCAGUGUGUUUCGACACACUAUCAUUAACUGAAUCCAUAGGUUAAUGAGGCGAACCGGGGAACUGAAACAUCUAAGUACCCCGAGGAAAAGAAAUCAACCGAGAUUCCCCAGUAGCGGCGAGCGAACGGGGAGCAGCCCAGAGCCUGAAUCAGUGUGUGUGUUAGUGGAAGCGUCUGGAAAGGCGCGCGAUACAGGGUGACAGCCCCGUACACAAAAAUGCACAUGCUGUGAGCUCGAUGAGUAGGGCGGGACACGUGGUAUCCUGUCUGAAUAUGGGGGACCAUCCUCCAAGGCUAAAUACUCCUGACUGACCGAUAGUGAACCAGUACCGUGAGGGAAAGGCGAAAAGAACCCCGGCGAGGGGAGUGAAAAAGAACCUGAAACCGUGUACGUACAAGCAGUGGGAGCCUCUUUAUGGGUGACUGCGUACCUUUUGUAUAAUGGGUCAGCGACUUAUAUUCUGUAGCAAGGUUAACCGAAUAGGGGAGCCGAAGGGAAACCGAGUCUUAACUGGGCGUUAAGUUGCAGGGUAUAGACCCGAAACCCGGUGAUCUAGCCAUGGGCAGGUUGAAGGUUGGGUAACACUAACUGGAGGACCGAACCGACUAAUGUUGAAAAAUUAGCGGAUGACUUGUGGCUGGGGUGAAAGGCCAAUCAAACCGGGAGAUAGCUGGUUCUCCCCGAAAGCUAUUUAGGUAGCGCCUCGUGAAUUCAUCUCCGGGGGUAGAGCACUGUUUCGGCAAGGGGUCAUCCCGACUUACCAACCCGAUGCAAACUGCGAAUACCGGAGAAUGUUAUCACGGGAGACACACGGCGGGUGCUAACGUCCGUCGUGAAGAGGGAAACAACCCAGACCGCCAGCUAAGGUCCCAAAGUCAUGGUUAAGUGGGAAACGAUGUGGGAAGGCCCAGACAGCCAGGAUGUUGGCUUAGAAGCAGCCAUCAUUUAAAGAAAGCGUAAUAGCUCACUGGUCGAGUCGGCCUGCGCGGAAGAUGUAACGGGGCUAAACCAUGCACCGAAGCUGCGGCAGCGACGCUUAUGCGUUGUUGGGUAGGGGAGCGUUCUGUAAGCCUGUGAAGGUGUGCUGUGAGGCAUGCUGGAGGUAUCAGAAGUGCGAAUGCUGACAUAAGUAACGAUAAAGCGGGUGAAAAGCCCGCUCGCCGGAAGACCAAGGGUUCCUGUCCAACGUUAAUCGGGGCAGGGUGAGUCGACCCCUAAGGCGAGGCCGAAAGGCGUAGUCGAUGGGAAACAGGUUAAUAUUCCUGUACUUGGUGUUACUGCGAAGGGGGACGGAGAAGGCUAUGUUGGCCGGGCGACGGUUGUCCCGGUUUAAGCGUGUAGGCUGAUUUUCCAGGCAAAUCCGGAAAAUCAAGGCUGAGGCGUGAUGACGAGGCACUACGGUGCUGAAGCAACAAAUGCCCUGCUUCCAGGAAAAGCCUCUAAGCAUCAGGUAACAUCAAAUCGUACCCCAAACCGACACAGGUGGUCAGGUAGAGAAUACCAAGGCGCUUGAGAGAACUCGGGUGAAGGAACUAGGCAAAAUGGUGCCGUAACUUCGGGAGAAGGCACGCUGAUAUGUAGGUGAAGUCCCUCGCGGAUGGAGCUGAAAUCAGUCGAAGAUACCAGCUGGCUGCAACUGUUUAUUAAAAACACAGCACUGUGCAAACACGAAAGUGGACGUAUACGGUGUGACGCCUGCCCGGUGCCGGAAGGUUAAUUGAUGGGGUCAGCGCAAGCGAAGCUCUUGAUCGAAGCCCCGGUAAACGGCGGCCGUAACUAUAACGGUCCUAAGGUAGCGAAAUUCCUUGUCGGGUAAGUUCCGACCUGCACGAAUGGCGUAAUGAUGGCCAGGCUGUCUCCACCCGAGACUCAGUGAAAUUGAACUCGCUGUGAAGAUGCAGUGUACCCGCGGCAAGACGGAAAGACCCGUGAACCUUUACUAUAGCUUGACACUGAACAUUGAGCCUUGAUGUGUAGGAUAGGUGGGAGGCUUAGAAGUGUGGACGCCAGUCUGCAUGGAGCCGGCCUUGAAAUACCACCCUUUAAUGUUUGAUGUUCUAACGUGGACCCGUAAUCCGGGUUGCGGACAGUGUCUGGUGGGUAGUUUGACUGGGGCGGUCUCCUCCUAAAGAGUAACGGAGGAGCACGAAGGUUGGCUAAUCCUGGUCGGACAUCAGGAGGUUAGUGCAAUGGCAUAAGCCAGCUUGACUGCGAGCGUGACGGCGCGAGCAGGUGCGAAAGCAGGUCAUAGUGAUCCGGUGGUUCUGAAUGGAAGGGCCAUCGCUCAACGGAUAAAAGGUACUCCGGGGAUAACAGGCUGAUACCGCCCAAGAGUUCAUAUCGACGGCGGUGUUUGGCACCUCGAUGUCGGCUCAUCACAUCCUGGGGCUGAAGUAGGUCCCAAGGGUAUGGCUGUUCGCCAUUUAAAGUGGUACGCGAGCUGGGUUUAGAACGUCGUGAGACAGUUCGGUCCCUAUCUGCCGUGGGCGCUGGAGAACUGAGGGGGGCUGCUCCUAGUACGAGAGGACCGGAGUGGACGCAUCACUGGUGUUCGGGUUGUCAUGCCAAUGGCACUGCCCGGUAGCUAAAUGCGGAAGAGAUAAGUGCUGAAAGCAUCUAAGCACGAAACUUGCCCCGAGAUGAGUUCUCCCUGACUCCUUGA
rnacentral:rRNA from 1 species